rnacentral:tRNA from 1 species
GGCCGGUUAGCUCAGUUGGUUAGAGCGUGGUGCUAAUAACGCCAAGGUCGCGGGUUCGACCCCUGUACGGGCCA